AUUCGAGUACGAGAAUCUGUUCUGAAUAUAAUUUGCGAUCUAACGUUCAAAGAAAGUACUUAUAUCCCUCACUUUUUCUGUCUUUUUUUAUUAGAAAUAGUUCCACUUGUGCCGCGCAACAGUUGCGCGUGGUCGCUUUUGCGGCGAGUUACUGCUUGAUCAGAUGCUCUCGUACCUUUUUCACUAGUGUCUGGCAGAAACAAUACUUUUUAAAGACAUGCUAUCUGCUUGUUAAAUUGAGGCAUAUAUUUACACGUUGGGGAAAAAACAAGCACGUGCCUGUUACUGUGGACUCUACCCCUCCCAUUUAGGCUGUUUCCUUGGUCUGUUUACCUGGACGUCUGUCUUGAUGUGAAAUGGACGUUUGGUAGAAGAACAAUAUAUUUUAGAAGAGCUUUCAUUCUCCCCUGUUUGAUUCUGUACUUUAGUCAUAUUAAUUCUGCUCCCGCUUUGUUAGCUGUAAACACAAGCAUCCAAGGCAUGCCCAGGCACUGCCCAGGUGGUUGGUAUGUCUCAGCUAUUGCAGUGUGAGGUGCAAAGUCUGAUUUGCAUUUUUUUUGCUUCAUAUUAUCUGCAAAACGUCUAGAACAGGGGUGUCCAAACUUUUUUCAAUGAGGGCCACAUGCAUGAACAUAUAGGAAGAGGUGGUCUACUUACUAG